rnacentral:tRNA from 1 species
GUAUUGGUGGUUCAGUGGUAGAAUUCUCACCUUCCAUGCAGGAGAUCUGGGGUCAAUUCCUGGCCAACAUA